GGMGGCUACCAUGCAAGUCGAGCGGGCGUAGCAAUACGUCAGCGGCAGACGGGUGAGUAACGCGUGGGAACGUACCUUUUGGUUCGGAACAACACAGGGAAACUUGUGYKMUWAUACCGGAUAASCCCUUACGGGGAAAGAUUUAUCGCCGAAAGAUCGGCCCGCGUCUGAUUAGCUAGUUGGUGAGGUAAUGGCUCACCAAGGCGACGAUCAGUAGCUGGUCUGAGAGGAUGAUCAGCCACAUUGGGACUGAGACACGGCCCAAACUCCUACGGGAGGCAGCAGUGGGGAAUAUUGGACAAUGGGGGCAACCCUGAUCCAGCCAUGCCGCGUGAGUGAUGAAGGCCCUAGGGUUGUAAAGCUCUUUUGUGCGGGAAGAUAAUGACGGUACCGCAAGAAUAAGCCCCGGCUAACUUCGUGCCAGCAGCCGCGGUAAUACGAAGGGGGCUAGCGUUGCUCGGAAUCACUGGGCGUAAAGGGUGCGUAGGCGGGUCUUUAAGUCAGGGGUGAAAUCCUGGAGCUCAACUCCAGAACUGCCUUUGAUACUGAAGAUCUUGAGUUCGGGAGAGGUGAGUGGAACUGCGAGUGUAGAGGUGAAAUUCGUAGAUAUUCGCAAGAACACCAGUGGCGAAAGGCGGCUCACUGGCCCGAUACUGACGCUGAGGCACGAAAGCGUGGGGAGCAAACAGGAUUAGAUACCUGGUAGUCCACGCCGUAACGAUGAAUGCCAGCCGUUAGUGGGUUUACUCACUAGUGCGCAGCUAACGCUUUAAGCAUUCCGCCUGGGGGAGUACGGUCGCAAGAUAAACUCAAGGAAUUGACGGGGCCGCACAGCGGKGGAGCAUGKGGUUUAUUCGACGCACGCGCAGAACUUACAGCCUUGACUUGUCAGACGGUCSARAGACKGACCUUYCYUCGGAGCUGAMCAGGGCUGCAUGCUKCUYMGUUGU
rnacentral:rRNA from 1 species